rnacentral:lncRNA from 1 species
UUUGAUUUGCUUUAUACGUCAACUAGCACGAAAUCACAUCAAGAAUGAUAGUGUUAACUAUUACAAUACUUGCCGCAUAAAAUAAUCAUAUUCUUCGUGCUAACCGUUUAAUUACAAUAACAUGGAGUAACGCAUAAAAAAAAGUAAGCAAAUAAUAAGUGCUGCAGCAGCAGCAGCAGCAGCAGCAGCAGCACGCAUUCAAUAUUUUCUUGGUUGAAAGAAAUUUACAACCCACAUCUAAAGCCUUGAGCACAUUCAACUAAUUUGGGCGCAGGUGCCUGGCGGUGAAACAAUGAGCUAUUAAUGAGAGCAUUGAAAGAGAGGGCGAGGGGUGGUCUCCCCUCAUCAAGUGACACCAU